rnacentral:rRNA from 1 species
UACGUAGGGAGCAAGCGUUGUUCGGAUUUACUGGGCGUAAAGGGCGCGUAGGCGGCAAUUCAAGUCAUCUGUGAAAUCUCCGGGCUUAACUCGGAACGGUCAGAUGAUACUGCUUUGCUAGAGUGCGGGAAGGGGCAAUCGGAAUUCUCGGUGUAGCGGUGAAAUGCGUAGAUAUCGAGAGGAACACCUGAGGUGAAGACGGGUUGCUGGGCCGACACUGACGCUGAGGAGCGAAAGCAUGGGGAGCGAACAGG